UGUUAUUGCUUGUGUAGCGAGCUGCCUUGCUGUCGGACCAUGUGCUCCUAAUGAAGACUUUUUAGCUAUCUUGAAGGCCAUUCACAAGUCACCAUCUUAUAAAAGUCUUAAUGGUGAACAACAAGUUAUGCUAUCAGAAUUAUUUGCCGAGGCUGCCUCUUGUCAACUCACAGCUUAUAUUCAAGUCAUUGGUUAUGCCAAAGUCCUGGCUCUGAUUGACCAUUUAUCGACAUCUGAGGCUCAUUUCCUCAGUAAUUACUUGCAACAGCAUCUAGCAUGGGAACAGUCUCUGGGCAGUAUUGUUACAGGACCGGCAAAACAGAAUUCCACCACUACACCCACCCCUAGUACCAAAUAAACGUCUG